rnacentral:lncRNA from 1 species
UUCACAACAAAACUGUCCACCUGCGCGACUGUCACUAAUUUACUUAUAACUCAAGCUACGAAACUUAAAAUUUAAAUCCGUAAAUUUUUCCUGAAACUAGACUCAUAUUCCUACUUACCGUAUAAUUUUUAGAAUUUUUUACUUAGCCAAUUAGUACAGUUUAUUCAUUAAAGUAUCCCCUAUUUCACAGCUCGACAGAUCUGAC